rnacentral:rRNA from 1 species
UACGGAGGGAGCUAGCGCUGUUCGGAAUUACUGGGCGUAAAGCGCGCGUAGGCGGCUUUGUAAGUUAGAGGUGAAAGCCCGGGGCUCAACCCCGGAAUUGCCUUUAAGACUGCAUCGCUUGAAUCCGGGAGAGGUGAGUGGAAUUCCGAGUGUAGAGGUGAAAUUCGUAGAUAUUCGGAAGAACACCAGUGGCGAAGGCGGCUCACUGGACCGGCAUUGACGCUGAGGUGCGAAAGCGUGGGGAGCAAGCAGG